AUACGUAGGGGGCGAGCGUUGUCCGGAAUGAUUGGGCGUAAAGGGCGCGUAGGCGGCGCGGUAAGUCUGGAGUGAAAGUCCUGCUUUCAAGGUGGGAAUUGCUUUGGAUACUGCCGCGCUUGAGUGCAGGAGAGGUUAUCGGAAUUCCCGGUGUAGCGGUGAAAUGCGUAGAGAUCGGGAGGAACACCAGUGGCGAAGGCGGGUUACGGGACUGCAACUGACGCUGAGGCGCGAAAGUGUGGAGAGAAAACAGGAUUAGAUACCCUGGUAGUCCACACUGUAAAGGAUGAAUGCUAGGUGUAAGAGGUAUCGACCCCUUUUGUGCUGGAGUCCACACAAUAAGCAUUCAGGCUGGGGAGUACGGCCGCAAGGUUGCAACUCAAAGUAAUUGACGGGG
rnacentral:rRNA from 1 species